GACGAACCGUACGAACGUUAUUCGGAAUCACUGGGCUUAAAGGGUGCGUAGGCGGCGCUGAAAGUUGGGUGUGAAAUCCCUCGGCUUAACCGAGGAAUUGCGCCCAAAACUACAGUGCUUGAGGGAGAUAGAGGUGAGUGGAACUUAGGGUGGAGCGGUGAAAUGCGUUGAUAUCCUAAGGAACACCAGUGGCGAAAGCGACUCACUGGGUCUUCUCUGACGCUGAGGGACUUAAGCUAGGGUUGCGAACGGG
rnacentral:rRNA from 1 species